rnacentral:rRNA from 1 species
CGUGUAGGCGGGUUAUUAAGUCAGAUGUGAAAUACCGAGGCUCAACUUCGGGGCUGCAUCUGAAACUAAUAAUCUUGAGUGCAGGAGAGGAAAGCGGAAUUCCAAGUGUAGCGGUGAAAUGCGUAGAUAUUUGGAGGAACACCAGUGGCGAAGGCGGCUUUCUGGACUGUAACUGACGCUGAGGCGCGAAAGCGUGGGGAGCAAACAGGAUUAGAUACCCUGGUAGUCCACGCCGUAAACGAUGGAUACUAGGUGUAGGAGGUAUCGACCCCUUCUGUGCCGGAGUUAACACAAUAAGUAUCCCACCGUGGGGAGUACGGCCGCAAGGUUGAA